rnacentral:misc_RNA from 1 species
GAAAUGCGAUAAGUAAUGUGAAUUGCAGAAUUCCGUGAAUCAUCGAAUCUUUGAACGCACAUUGCGCCCUCUGGCAUUCCGGGGGGGAUGCCUGUCCGAGCGUCAUUACGCACCCUCAAGCCCGGCUUGUGUGAUGGGCCCCGGCGUCUCGUUCGCGAGACGGGCCCGAAAGGCAGCGGCGGCGUCGACCCGAUGAGCCCGAGCGUAUGGGGACUUCUGUCACACGUUCGCGGUGCGGACCGGCGCCUGCUUGACUUUUCUGAUUAUCCAGGUUGACCUCGGAUCAGGUAGGGAUACCCGCUGGACUUAAGC